rnacentral:rRNA from 1 species
UUGUAAGAGACAGCAGCAGCCACGGUAAUACGUAGGGUGCAAGCGUUAAUCGGAAUUACUGGGCGUAAAGCGUGCGCAGGCGGUUAUAUAAGACAGAUGUGAAAUCCCCGGGCUCAACCUGGGAACUGCAUUUGUGACUGUAUAGCUAGAGUACGGCAGAGGGGGAUGGAAUUCCGCGUGUAGCAGUGAAAUGCGUAGAUAUGCGGAGGAACACCGAUGGCGAAGGCAAUCCCCUGGGCCUGUACUGACGCUCAUGCACGAAAGCGUGGGGAGCAAACAGGAUUAGAUACCCCUGUAGUCCCUGUCUCUUAUAA